AGUUGAUCAUGGCUCAGGAUGAACGCUGGCGGCAGGCUUAAUACAUGCAAGUCGAACGGUAAGGCCGAGUGCAGCAAUGCAUGAGGUACACGAGUGGCGCACGGGUGCGUAACGCGUAUGCAACCUGCCCCCGACCGGGAACAAAACAGCUGGAAACGGCUGCUAAUAUCCCAUGGUUACCGAGGAGGGCAUCCUCCUUUGUAUAAAGAUUCAUUGGUCGGGGAUGGGCAUGCGUAUUAUUAGGUAGUUGGCGGGUAACGGCCCACCAAGCCGACGAUGAUUAGGGGUCCUGAGAGGGUUAUCCCCCACACUGGAACUGAGACACGGUCCAGACUCCUACGGGAGGCAGCAGUAGGGAAUAUUGGGCAAUGGGAGCAAUCCUGACCCAGCCAUGCCGCGUGAAAGGAAGACGGCCCUAUGGGUUGUAAACUUCUUUUGCCGCAGAGUAAAGUCCGCCACGCGUGGCGGUUUGAGAGUAUGCGGCGAAUAAGUAUCGGCUAACUCCGUGCCAGCCGCUGC
rnacentral:rRNA from 1 species